rnacentral:rRNA from 1 species
AGUUUGAUCCUGGCUCAGGACGAACGCUGGCGGCGUGCUUAACACAUGCAAGUCGAACGAUGAACCGCUUUCGGGCGGGGAUUAGUGGCGAACGGGUGAGUAACACGUGGGCAAUCUGCCCUGCACUCUGGGACAAGCCCUGGAAACGGGGUCUAAUACCGGAUAUGACCGUCUGCCGCAUGGUGGAUGGUGUAAAGCUCCGGCGGUGCAGGAUGAGCCCGCGGCCUAUCAGCUUGUUGGUGAGGUAGUGGCUCACCAAGGCGACGACGGGUAGCCGGCCUGAGAGGGCGACCGGCCACACUGGGACUGAGACACGGCCCAGACUCCUACGGGAGGCAGCAGUGGGGAAUAUUGCACAAUGGGCGAAAGCCUGAUGCAGCGACGCCGCGUGAGGGAUGACGGCCUUC